rnacentral:rRNA from 1 species
AUGAACGCUAGCUACAGGCUUAACACAUGCAAGUCGAGGGGCAGCAUGACCUAGCAAUAGGUUGAUGGCGACCGGCGCACGGGUGAGUAACACGUAUCCAACCUACCGGUUAUUCCGGGAUAGCCUUUCGAAAGAAAGAUUAAUACCGGAUAGUAUAACGAGAAGGCAUCGAUGGGGAUGCGUUCCAUUAGGUUGUUGGCGGGGUAACGGCCCACCAAGCCUUCGAUGGAUAGGGGUUCUGAGAGGAAGGUCCCCACAUUGGACUGAGACACGGUCCAAACUCC